rnacentral:lncRNA from 1 species
UCCUAGGUAGCUUUGACUAGAUGUCUACACCCAUGUCUAUACUCUACAACACUAAAUAGAAAGGUGUGCUUUAAUUUAUUAACAUUAGACGAUAAUCUCUAUGCCCAACCUAGGGGUGUGCAUUACGUGAUGGAAAAUGCAAAAAACUCUCAACUUUGCCAAAAAUUUAGGAAAGUAAUUGUAACUCACUAAACAGUUAUAUUUGCGAUUUCAAAAGGAAGAUAUAAUGACAAGGUGUUUAACAAAUAUGCAUGCAUGGUGUACCAUUCUUAUAGAGUGAACAAAAUAAAUAUCAGGAUAGAUACUAAGGGUCAGUUCUUUUGGGUGGCUUAAAAAAAUAAGCUGCCUUUCCCCAGCUUAAAAAAUAAGCCGCUCUCAAAAUUUGUUGAGGCUUCUAAACUUGCAAUUUCACAACUAGUUCAAAAGCCUCAAUGAAUGAUGAAGGCAGCUUAUGGAAAAAGCUGGAGAGGAGCCGUCAAAAGAACUGGCCCUAAGAAAUAGAAUGCAUACCACCACGAACACCGCCACCACUAGCUCCGUCACGGAAUGUUGUGUGAUAAAAGCCCACCAUGCUCACUCAAGAACCUCAACUGACAUGUUGAAUUUGUAACUGAAAUGUAAAACACAAACAUAAGGGAUCCAACUUCAAAAUAAUAUAAACAAUGAGCAAAGCAACAUAUAGAAGUAUAAAAAAACAUACCCCUCAUCCAAGAUACCAUAAGCAUACAAUAAAUAUACACAGAGCUACAGAACCGGCUUCCCUUGAGCCUUGCACCCUCGCUUAUCAACAUAGUACCAAGAUCGGAC